AGUGAACGCUGGCGGUAGGCCUAACACAUGCAAGUCGAACGGCAGCACAGUAAGAGCUUGCUCUUACGGGUGGCGAGUGGCGGACGGGUGAGGAAUACAUCGGAAUCUACUUUUUCGUGGGGGAUAACGUAGGUAAACUUACGCUAAUACCGCAUACGACCUACGGGGGAAAGCAGGGGAUCUUCGGACCUUGCGCGAUUGAAUGAGCCGAUGUCGGGUUAGCUAGUGGGCGGGGUAAAGGCCCACCAAGGCGACGAUCCGUAGCUGGUCUGAGAGGAUGAUCAGCCACACUGGAACUGAGACACGGUCCAGACUACUACGGGAGGCAGCAGUGGGGAAUAUUGGACAAUGGGCGCAAGCCUGAUCCAGCCAUACCGAGUGGGUGAAGAAGGCCUUCGGGUUGUAAAGCCCUUUUGUUGGGAAAGAAAAGCAGCAGGUUAAUACCCAGCUGUUCUGACGGUACCCAAAGAAUAAGCACCGGCUAACUUCGUG
rnacentral:rRNA from 1 species